GAGGCCUUAACCCAACCCUUUGCAUUCCCAUUAACUAGGAUUGCAAAACUUGAUGAAGACAAACAACCCCUCAUCCAAGAUCUCCAUUUUGGGCUGAACCCUUUCCUUUCUAGCACAUGAUCUAAAAAGCCCCAAUCCACAUGAUCAUAGGCCUUCUCAAAAUCGAUUUUGAAGACCACCCUUUCCUCCCCUGACCUUCUUUUCUCAUCC
rnacentral:lncRNA from 1 species